rnacentral:rRNA from 1 species
UACAGAGGGUGCGAGCGUUAAUCGGAAUUAUUGGGCGCAAAGGGCGCGUAGGCGGAUAAUCAAGUGGUAGGUGAAAGACCUGGGCUUAACCUGGGGAGGUCCUAUCAGACUGGUUAUCUAGAAUGUGGUAGAGGAAGGUGGAAUUUCUGGUGUAGCGGUGAAAUGCGUAGAUAUCAGAAAGAACAUCGAUGGCGAAGGCAACCUUCUGGGCCAUUAUUGACGCUGAGGCGCGAAAGCGUGGGGAGCGAACAGG